rnacentral:tRNA from 1 species
CAAAAAGUAGUAUAUAGUUUACAACUUGCUUACACCAAGUAAAAGGCCUCAGCCCUUUUUGA